UCCGGUUGAUCCUGGCAGAGGUUACUGCUAUCGAGGUUCAACUAAGCCAUGCGAGUCGAAUGUAGCAAUACAUGGCGAACUGCUCAGUAACACGUGGACAACCUGCCCUUAGGACGGGGAUAAACCCGGGAAACUGGGUAUAAUACCCGAUAGGUCUCGAUUGCUGGAAUGCAUCGAGAUUUAAAGCUCCGGCGCCUAAGGAUGGGUCUGCGGCCUAUCAGGUAGUAGUGGGUGUAGCGUACCUACUAGCCUACGACGGGUACGGGUUGUGAGAGCAAGAGCCCGGAGAUGGAUUCUGAGACACGAAUCCAGGCCCUACGGGGUGCAGCAGGCGCGAAAACUUUACAAUGCUGGCAACAGCGAUAAGGGAACCUCGAGUGCCAGGUUACAAAUCUGGCUGUCGAGAUGCCUAAAAAGCAUUUCAUAGCAAGGGCCGGGCAAGACCGGUGCCAGCCGCCGCGGUAACACCGGCGGCUCGAGUGGUAACCGUUAUUAUUGGG
rnacentral:rRNA from 1 species